CAGCACCACGGGAAUACAGAGGGUGCGAGCGUUAAUCGGAUUUACUGGGCGUAAAGCGUGCGUAGGCGGCUUUUUAAGUCGGAUGUGAAAUCCCUGAGCUUAACUUAGGAAUUGCAUUCGAUACUGGGAAGCUAGAGUAUGGGAGAGGAUGGUAGAAUUCCAGGUGUAGCGGUGAAAUGCGUAGAGAUCUGGAGGAAUACCGAUGGCGAAGGCAGCCAUCUGGCCUAAUACUGACGCUGAGGUACGAAAGCAUGGGGAGCAAACAGGAUUAGAUACCCGAGUAGUCCCUGUCUCUUAUACA
rnacentral:rRNA from 1 species